rnacentral:rRNA from 1 species
AAAUAGAACUUUGCAGAGAGAGUUAACAGGGCGUGAAACCGUUAAUUGGCAAACGAAUCGGAGCCACGAAGUCGUUUCGCUGAUAAGUCGAGUUCAGCUUUUAAGAAAUUAAGGGUGUAUUCUCGUGAGCUUAUCCAAUGUAAACGUACACUGCAACUAGUUAGACGAUUAAAGAUGGGCACAGUUGAGGAAGUUUCGGCUUCCUUAGCGAGCUAUUUGUUUGUUUGGGUUAGUAGUAACGUCGUAGUUCUUGUAGCUAUGUGCGUUGCUGGGCCUGUAACAAGUGAGCUAUCUUUGAAUACUGACUAGCAAAAUUAAAAUCGCUUUUCUUAGCGUAAUACAAAAAGCAGUUGUUUGUAUUAUUGUCUACAUGUUUAACCAUGAAGUUUUAAGCUCAGCAUUUUUGAAUUUGAACUUGCUCGCUACCAAUGGGGCAACUCUUGGUGCUUGUAUAGCUUCAUCUAAUCGGGUGUUGACUUGAUUUUGUGUUGUUUAAGCAUGCUACGAUAGGAUAGUAAUAUAAGAUGAUUUGCAAUUUGAAUUGGCAGUGAGUAGGUCGGCUUUCCGAACGACCCGUCUUGAAACACGGACCAAGGAGUCUAAUUAGGCAUCGAGUCGAUCGGUCUUGAUAGGCCAGAGAGGGGUUUUCGUAACUCCGAGUGAAGGCGUAGAGAAAUCAAAUCAUGUGAUCAUUGGUGGUAAAAACAACCCCUUUGCGCAACAUGUGCCUGUUCGUAUACCAAUGUAGCAAUACUUGGUGGGCGGAGCAAAGAGAUGCCUGAUUGGUACCCGAAAGAUGGUGAACUAUGCCUGGGCAAAUUGAAGCCAGAGGAAACUCUGGUGGAGGAUUGUAGCGAUUCUGACGUGCAAAUCGAUCGUCAGACCUGGGUAUAGGGGCGAAAGACUAAUCGAACCAUC